GGAUAACGAAUUUGAAUUCGGGCUCCGGCCCGAUCCUCCCACCCUUUGUGUACCUACCUCUGUUGCUUUGGCGGGCCGCGGUCCUCCGCGGCCGCCCCCCUCCCCGGGGGGGUGGCCAGCGCCCGCCAGAGGACCAUCAAACUCCAGUCAGUAAACGAUGCAGUCUGAAAAACAUUUAAUAAACUAAAACUUUCAACAACGGAUCUCUUGGUUCUGGCAUCGAUGAAGAACGCAGCGAAAUGCGAUAAGUAAUGUGAAUUGCAGAAUUCAGUGAAUCAUCGAAUCUUUGAACGCACAUUGCGCCCUUUGGUAUUCCGAAGGGCAUGCCUGUUCGAGCGUCAUUACAACCCUCAAGCUCUGCUUGGUAUUGGGCACCGUCCUUUGCGGGCGCGCCUCAAAGACCUCGGCGGUGGCGUCUUGCCUCAAGCGUAGUAGAACAUACAUCUCGCUUCGGAGCGCAGGGCGUCGCCCGCCGGACGAACCUUCUGAACUUUUCUCAAGGUUGACCUCGGAUCAGGUAGGGAUACCCGCUGAACUUAAGCAUAUCAAUAAGCGGAGGA
rnacentral:rRNA from 1 species